rnacentral:lncRNA from 1 species
GCCAACUCUCUUGGACUUAUUGUAAUGGCGGUUAAUGCUUGACAAAGCAGAGGUUUCUUUUGAGGUUUAGAGUAAACAAGCAAGGGUAGCUAAUUUCAAUGUCACUCUUAAGUCAGAAAAAGCAACGGAACAAGCAAGGGAAAAAGAAUAAGCCAAUAAAGAAGCAACGGCGCUAUUUUCUUAAAACAAGCCCCGAGAGUAAGCUUAAGCUCCGUUUUGUUCAUCUCCUAAAUCAGAGAGAGGCCGGGUACACCGCACUCGAUUCCAUUCUUAAAGCAGCGGAACAAUACUAAGUGCUUAGGUAAAGAACAAUACUAAGUGCUUAGGUAAAGUCUGUUCCUGUCUUUCCGUGUUAGGAGUGAGUUGUGCUUUAGGGAGUUUGUAGAAACUUAUCUAACAGUGCUUGCUGUGCCUUAAUUCUAUUCUUUUGCGCUGUUCCUAAGGUGCACUCAAUGAUAUUCUCUUCUUCUGUGAGUAGAAUCUCCUCCAUAUUAUAGUGCUUAUUCGCAAGGAAGGGGUAGUUCGAAAGCAAGCAAGGGUAGAGUUCCAGUCCAGAGAUGCGCUUUUGUGUUAACGCCAUGAAUUACUAUAAGGAAGGAUAAGGGAUAAGGCCGGGGUUCCUCUAUUCUAACAAAAAGGAAGCAUUGGUGAUUGGGUGCGUUAGCGAGUUGAGUCCGGGGUGCUGGGACAAGUAGCGUCGAAAAGCAACAUUUGAUUCUUUGGGUUGCGCUGUAGUGAGUGGUGCGAACAACUUAUUUGAGUUUCGAGUUAGGUUACCACGGAGUAGGCAUACUAAUCUCAUGACUUAAUAGUCUUUUAACUGUGUCUAAUGAAUUAAUAGUCUUUUAACUGUGUCUAAUGAAUUAAUAGUCUUUGGCCGAUAUGAAACAAGUAAACGAGCAAGAGCGAAAACACACUUUAGGCAGUGGUGAGAUUACCUUCAGACAGAAGUGGUGCACUCUCUCUUCCAUAAGUGAAAGAACUCAAGCUACCCAUAUUGACACUAAGACCCAUAACGCGCGCAAGGGAACAAGAGGUAAUUGUCACUUAGAAUAGGCGCUUUAAAGUCAAGGCAAGGCAAGGGAACUUUACUUGUGCGUUAGCUUACUUUCUGGGUUGUGUGGUAAUCUUAUAUUCUUUCUGGUUUUGAAGCGAAGGAGGGAGUUUACUGGUUUCUAUCAUAUGCGCUAUCUAGAUGAAAUGAGACAAGCAACAGAACAAGAAGACUACAUGUUUGCCCAAUAAGCUAGGGCGCUAAGAACAAACGCAGUGAGAGUAAGCUGUUAGGUUCCUUACUUAGUUGUCAGUGAGAUGAUUGAAUAAACAAGCAAGUCUACGAGUUCCAGAAGCCAAAGUCAGUGUGUAAGAGCUCCCGUUGUUUGUUUGUUCCGUUGCAGAAGCCCUUAUUUCCCUUUAUCACUCAUAUCAUCUCAUAUCCCCGGAAAGUCAAAGAAUAGAGAUAGGAUAGGCACAGUUCAGUUGCUUAUAGAAGAUUGGCACCCAUCCAUUAUAGAAAUAAGGAAUAACACUGCUGACUGCAAUGAACGAACAGAGAGAGUACUUUAUAGCUUUACUAAUAUAUCCAUUAGCAAGUUCUUUUACACUCCCCCAAACAAUAAGACUCACGUUAGCGCCCUGAACCUUUGCUUUGCUUUCCUUUCCGAACCCUAGUAUACUAGACAAGAGUACUAAUUUCUUAUUGCCGUAGCUUAAACUCACUUAAGCACUAGCGCAUUGGUAUUUCUAUCAUCAAUUCUACUUUACUGGAUUUGAAUACUUUCUUUCACAGCUUCUUUAUAGGUGGUUACUACUUUCUACUUGAUACGAGACUUUAGACUUCUACAGCAUUAACAACUAAGUAGGCAGAGUUGGGCCGGUUAGACUUACCUUCUCACUAUAUAGAAUUGAACCUCUCUGGUAUAUGAUAUAAUCUUGUAAUCUGGAACCUAACAGCUUGUUCGAGCUCGCAACGUCUUGCACAACACCACUAACGCCCAACGGCCGAGCUCACGUAAGCGCUACUUUACUACAAAGCUUGUUCAUUGCUAAAAAAACCUUAUUGUGACCUUGCUUCUUCCUUUCAUAAAAUCUAUCUCUUGCAUAUAACUGAUAUGAAUGAUUUUAGUGCGCAUAGCAUAUAAGUGAUUCAUUUUUAUUGCAGCGCCCAUAAGAGAGAGGAAUAGAAAUACACCUGACCUUAACUCUAUGCUUUCAUUUGCUUACUGAAACUCUAUAAUCGAGUAACAACACUGCUGACAUAUUCCAAAAAUCACUCAUAUUGGGUCGGGGCACAGUUCCAUAAGAAAAUACGAUAACAGUGUUGAGCUGUUUCAAAUACUAUACUGAAGGAAUAUGGUUGGUUAGCGCUUUCUUUUCUUGGUCUUCUAUCUGAAGGGUCUUCCAUCUGUAUAGAAGCUGUUGAUGCAAUAAUGGGUGUUGUACGCCCUUGACUCUAUCCCUAACCAUUGAGAGUGAGGCACCUUCUCCAUACUAUACUGUUACUUGCCCUAACCAUUGAGUUUAGGCAUCUUCUCCAUACUAUACUGUUACUUGCCCUAACUAUUGAAUAUUGGCACCUUAUAGAAACUAUACUGGAACUUGGCGCCUACACUCGAACUGGAAAUCAAUCUACUUCACUACUUACCGCUUCAGAAGGGUAUUCUCCACUACUACUAAGGUAAAGGCAAUCAGUCCAAUCACCUUUAGCGUCGCCAACACCAAGAUACCGCACUGCCUCUGAUCCAACUUCCAUACCUUAUACAGAUAUAGCUUGUUCUUUUGCUCGGAUAAGAGUUAGUUGUUUCUGCGAGAGAGGAGAGGUCCAGUCCAAGUUGUCAAUCAAUUGAAAAGCCCUAAGUUGUCCCCCCAAGCAUUUAAGGUGGUUAUUCCAGUUUGUUUUUGGCAAUCAGAUCUUCAUGACUAAAUGAUUUUCCUGGUUAACUCGGCGCUAGGCUAGAUGAAAUUCCAUAUUAUUGGUAAGGGAUCAACCAAGAGCUGGAUAUGGAGUUUGAUAAAGUAAGUCAGCAUAAGCAAGAGUAGGAGUAGUUAAAGAAGAUGUUUCUCAUGGUCUUGGUCAUAAGCGGGAGUAGGUUCAUAAAGUGUAGUUCCAGUUGCAAGAUCAAUCAGGUGAGGAAUCCGUUCAAGUUCUAGGAUCGGAGGCAGGUCCUACCCUUAAGUAAUUGGUGGAAUCUACUCCACUAAGAAGAAAAAGACGCUAAAGGAUCCGCAGGAGCAGGAUGAGGCCCAGUAUCAAGUCUAGACUUAAUGGCAUAAGAACUUAGAAGCGGUUUUUCGAGUUUUGUAUUUGUUAUUACUGCUGAUGUCUUCGCAUACUAUACCUUAUUAAUAAGAAAUUGAAUCACUGUUAACAUUAAUAAGCAAUUGACAUACCUCUAAGCCUACUGCUCCUUGGUUUGAUUCUAUCUUUUCUUGCUUCUACGCCUUAUUUCAUUAAGUUAAUUAACUGCCUUAUUCCAUUCACUUUAUUAACCUUAAAUGAAUUCUCCUGUUCGCAUAUAUUAAUGAUUCCCAUUCACAAUAGAUGCCUACCCGGUCCACCAGCACCUUACUACUGGUCUGUGACUCCUGGGCUUAUUUCUGUAUUUGCUUAUUACGUGCUUGGUGCUGUCCUUCUUUUAUUCCCGGGUUUCUAUUCUCAUAGUAGUUGCAGUUGACUUAGAAAGGGAUCUUUACCCAUUAAUUGAUUUCUUGAAACUCAAACAUAGGUAUCGGAUCGGCAGUCCAAGAAUCAAAGUCCGUAGUUCGAGCCUUGUUAGCGGCUAGAUCAAUUCACACUUAUGAAUCAAAUCCCUAGUUGUCGACUUGGGUGCUAAGAAAGGAAACACACUAUACUCUACUCGGAGAAUAAGGAUUUGGAGAGGAAAGUAAAGUACUAAUUUCAUGGAAUGGAAUGGAACUAGCAAAUCAAAGAAUCGAAUUUCUGAUUUCAAAUGUAUGUACAAUACAAGAAGACUAAACUCCCUUGACUUAAUAUAAGGGCAAGUUGAUUUCCCUACCUGAGUUACUGAGCAAGAGGCGAGGUCAAGUACUGGCAAGGAAGCGAGGUGUAACAAAAGAAGUAUAGUUUCGUUCGGAUAGCCCUGUUUAUAAGGUAUGCAGUGCUAGGAAAGAAGCCCAGAGCGGAGCGAGUCUUCAAGGGAGAUAAGAAGUAUUUGUUGACUUAGCUAUAUCAUAAUAAGGAUCAUCGGCUGGGGGUGGAUCAGGCGAGGAAGCUGGAAGUUUCGUUUAGUUCGGGUUACUUUCUUUUAUGUAGUAAGUAGGGUGAGUUGGUUCUUAAAGCUGAGUUCGCUAGUCUUGUCAGGGAAUCUAUACAGCGGAUGUUUACUCGGAUGCUCUACCUAUUACAGCUGACUCUAUUACCCCACGUAGCAGAGCAGUAAGCGCGGAAGAUAGUAUUGGCUUUGAAGCGGUAAGUUGAGUUUCGUCAUGAUUUCACUUCGGAUCAAAACUAAGUCAAUAAAUAAGUAGGUUAUUAUGUUGUUUGGUUCAUAAAUCUAAGUGUAGUUCGCCGUAGUAGCUCGUAUAUCGUUGAGUAUACGUUAGGGAAUCAAAGGCUAAAGUCAGUACAGCAACCGUUAAGUCGACAAGUUCAGAAGCUAGUGAAAGAGUCAGUUUCAAUAAAAUCCGCAGUUGGGUAUCCAAGGUAUCCAAAGUUUCCAGUUUCAAGUCGAGUUCCUUUUCUUUCUCCUAGCAACGUUGAAACCUGUUCUUUACUGAUCUGUAGGGCUACGUUUGUUAAGACAGUGGAGUUCUUAGUUAAGCUAGUUUAGUAUAUAAGGGGUCAAGGGUAAUAAUCAAUCUCAAGAGGAAGGGUGCGGUUUUACAAGUGACUAUACCUUACAAGUGACUAUACCUAGUGCUCAAUAAAAGAGUCAAGAUUAACUGAAGUAGUGUUCGAGACCCUGCUUGCCGUGGAGAAUAUCCAGUUUGAGUUGACAGAAACAGUCCUUGCAUAAGCUUCUGCUACUACCACAUAAAGGUUAAUCCAAGCACUACUAUACUAGGUCAAGUCAAGUCGGAUGCAAAGAUUGGUUCAGUUGGUUUUAUUUACAGAUAAUCUUUACUAAUGGGAGUGGAGAGGACUAGUUUUAGGUGAAGGAGUUNNNNNNNNNNNNNNNNNNNNNNNNNNNNNNNNNNNNNNNNNNNNNNNNNNNNNNNNNNNNNNNNNNNNNNNNNNNNNNNNNNNNNNNNNNNNNNNNNNNNNNNNNNNNNNNNNNNNNNNNNNNNNNNNNNNNNNNNNNNNNNNNNNNNNNNNNNNNNNNNNNNNNNNNNNNNNNNNNNNNNNNNNNNNNNNNNNNNNNNNNNNNNNNNNNNNNNNNNNNNNNNNNNNNNNNNNNNNNNNNNNNNNNNNNNNNNNNNNNNNNNNNNNNNNNNNNNNNNNNNNNNNNNNNNNNNNNNNNNNNNNNNNNNNNNNNNNNNNNNNNNNNNNNNNNNNNNNNNNNNNNNNNNNNNNNNNNNNNNNNNNNNNNNNNNNNNNNNNNNNNNNNNNNNNNNNNNNNNNNNNNNNNNNNNNNNNNNNNNNNNNNNNNNNNNNNNNNNNNNNNNNNNNNNNNNNNNNNNNNNNNNNNNNNNNNNNNNNNNNNNNNNNNNNNNNNNNNNNNNNNNNNNNNNNNNNNNNNNNNNNNNNNNNNNNNNNNNNNNNNNNNNNNNNNNNNNNNNNNNNNNNNNNNNNNNNNNNNNNNNNNNNNNNNNNNNNNNNNNNNNNNNNNNNNNNNNNNNNNNNNNNNNNNNNNNNNNNNNNNNNNNNNNNNNNNNNNNNNNNNNNNNNNNNNNNNNNNNNNNNNNNNNNNNNNNNNNNNNNNNNNNNNNNNNNNNNNNNNNNNNNNNNNNNNNNNNNNNNNNNNNNNNNNNNNNNNNNNNNNNNNNNNNNNNNNNNNNNNNNNNNNNNNNNNNNNNNNNNNNNNNNNNNNNNNNNNNNNNNNNNNNNNNNNNNNNNNNNNNNNNNNNNNNNNNNNNNNNNNNNNNNNNNNNNNNNNNNNNNNNNNNNNNNNNNNNNNNNNNNNNNNNNNNNNNNNNNNNNNNNNNNNNNNNNNNNNNNNNNNNNNNNNNNNNNNNNNNNNNNNNNNNNNNNNNNNNNNNNNNNNNNNNNNNNNNNNNNNNNNNNNNNNNNNNNNNNNNNNNNNNNNNNNNNNNNNNNNNNNNNNNNNNNNNNNUUGACCAUAUUCUAGUAAUCUGGUUCUGGUUGCUCCCACCUUAGAAUUCGUGAAAUUAGUAGUUUGACUCAUCCCGUUACUUGUUCAAUAAGCGUAGUUAGUGUCCCGAAGAAAAAAGUAAGCGUAAGCUGAAGAAAAGACUUGCACAAGAAACUUUUGAUACCUAACUGAAGUCAGAUCCAGCUUAUUAUCUUGUUGACUUCACUCGCCCUACUUCCUUAAAAGAUGAAACUCCAACUUAGAUUUAAGAACCGACAACACUGUCAAUGGUACAAGCACCCGACCCGACCCCAACUCAAACAAGCAAUCAAGUUUUCAAGUAAGUAAGUUGACUUAUUGCUUUGGAGGAACUUUAUUACUGCUAUUCUAGAAGUACUUUAUUUGAGUGUAAGCGGACUUGGACCACUACUCUACAAGGAGAGGGAAACAAACCAGUCAAUCAGGCUAAGGUAAAGCCUAUUAUAGAAGCACUAACAAAGGGAAAGCUGUCAAUCAGGCUAAGGUGUAAGUUUCAAUCAGGCUAAGGUAAAGCCUAUUAUAGAAGCACUAACAAAAGGAAAGCUAUGUGUAUCUUGACUCCAUCUUCUAUACCGGGGGUACAAUAAAAGAAAUGAAUGUUUGACUCGGCGUGUUAUAAGUUGAGUUUGCGAGAUGGGCUGUUUUUGACUUGUGCUAAUAGAGUGGAGCUUCAUCUAGCGUUAGGAGAGUUCGCGAAAGCCCUUGUGCGUGGAGAAGAUAAGUUAUGGGCUUUGGUUCUAAGUCAGAGGUCAGUGAGCUACUGGAUAACAUUCCUACUUUAUGGGCGGGUUAGAUGGAUUCCAUUCAUGUUUGUUCGAUUGAUUAGCCUAAACCUUGUCCCAACAAGACUAGGUGCGCUUAUCACUCUUUUACCCACUAGCUGUGUUGGUGAGUGAGAAAGAAGGGUUGAUAGUUGUGUUGCCGGUUCAAUAACAAGUAGAGUCAGUUCGGGUGCAAAGCAAGACAAGAUGGAUUCCAGGGCCUGGCUUAUCCGAGACAGCCUUAUGGUUAUGGCUGGAACCGGCCUUGCUAGGCAUAAAGUCAGUAUGAUUCUUUCUCUCUCUCUUGCUUGCCUGCGGGCUUGAAACCAAACGAGUAUAGGAUUUCUUUCAUGCCUGCUAUCCAAUCAACGCUCAUAAUCUGUUCCAAAGAGAAAAUAACACUUUAGAGAACCAAAUGAAAAAGACGAUUAAAGCAAACUGCAGCUUUUACUAAAUAAGAUAUAUAUCCUUGAAACUGGUAGUGGACCGAGCCCUAACUUCUUCCCUCCCUAUAGCUUCGCUCGAUCGGAAUGAAAUCCUCUUAUCCUUAACAGCUAGCUACCCAUCUGCAUUUACAUGAGCCGAAAACUGGACUCGACUCGCUCUUAACUCAUACGUCACGUAAGCACAACGAACAAGAACAAUAAAACAAACAAUAGAAUGUUGAUUCCUAAGAAGAGAUAGAAGGAAUCCAGUAAACUAACUGCUUACUUACAUAUAAUUAGAAUAUGAUAGCGUGACCAAUAUCUAGUCAGUGACACAUGAUAGAAAUGGAGUAAUAUAACACACUGCGCGACAUAGAGAGUAUAGAUAUAAGAAAUUAGUAAACAAUCACUCGAGACUCACUUUUGGAUUGAAUCUCUCUCGCUUAGUUCGAAAAGGAGAUCUAUCUCGCUAAGUAUAGGAUAAAGUCACUUAGAACCUCGUAUAGAAUCCAGUCACUUAGAAACCCGACCCCUACAAGGAGAUCUAUCGCUAAGUAUAGAAGAUCAAUCAAGUCACUUAGAACCUCUAAAUAGUAGUGCACACACCCUUUGUAUAUAAGAGUGCACACAUCCCUUGUAUAUAAGUCAGAUUUGGAAGAAUGUAGCGGUCAUCCAGAGAAGAACAUUACUUUUGAUAGAUUAUUAGAUACUGAAGUUAACCACUCACUACUGAUAGAAGAAUGGAAUAACAUGACUCUCCACUCUGCACUUAUGGAAUGGGAGAUAGUGCACACCCAAUAUAUAGAUUCUAGUUAAUUCCCACCUAUAAGAAUAUGAUUGACUAUUCUGCUCUGCACGAGCUUCUUUCUACGCUACGUUACUAUCUACGCUACUGCUCUCUGCACGAGCUUCUUUCUACUAUCUAUGUUACUGCUCUGCACGAGCUUCCUUCUAUGCUACGUUACUAAUCUACGCUACUUCUCUUUCUUGCAUUAACAACCAUUAACCAUAAUAAACCAGUGAGACUUAUUUCACUUAUACUAAUACUGACGUUGUGAAGCAGUGCUUUCUGAAGUGACUUGCUUAUAUCAUAUGCUACACUGAUGUAUUGGUUUACAGGCCUGGCCCGGACUUCUUAAUGGUUGGUAGCUUGAGAAGUCUCUUGUAUCUCGCGUAUCCUAGAUUCUGGAGUCUUGAAAUCUCUUGUAUCUCGUGUAUCCCCUAGAUUAUGGAGUCUUUAAGCAAUGCUGCUAGUCAAGAAGCAAAGCAGUGUGUUUUACUUGACUUAAUUCAUUAUAUAUAUGUGUGUAUUUGUUCUCAAUUUCGGAUUUCUAUAUUAACUGUUUCCUGAGCACUUUCCCUAUUUAUUGUAAUGUUUGCAAGAGAAGUAACAAGUAGAAGGUCAAGUUUCAAGUCGAGUAUAAAGAAAGGAAGCAAUGCAGUCAGCAGUUUUAUAGCGCUUAGAGGCAUUAGAUUAUUCAGGAUUAAUGCAGUUUCGCAGUCUUUUGUUCCUAUAGCAUAUGUGACUUCAACUCAGUAAGGAGUAAAGAGUUGGAUUGAAAGUGUAGUCUAUGAGAUAUGUUAUUGGCGCGAGUCUACACUACGAUAGAAUCAUAAGUGUGAGUUGAUGUUGAAAGUCCAGGAGAAGAAGACUGAUUAGAAGCUGUUCAAUUGUCAGCAGCAAGUAGUUCUUCUUAAAGUGUAGUUCCAGAUUCCAGGAGAGUGAAAGAAGUAGAAGAGAAUGCUUACCUAGCGCUUAAGGCUAAAGAAGAAGCUAGAUCAGAUGCGGGUGAGGAAACAGGCCCAACAUAUGAAAGCAGUAAGAGUGAAGUCGUAGAGAUCAGAAGCUUGCUUGAUCCGUAGUUUUAUACCUAGUGCUCAAUAAGCUUUCAAUUCCAUUCAACACUUGGAGGAUAGGUUGCCAAAAGGUAAUAAUCCACUUUGCUACUGGCACUCGCACCGCCCUCACUUCACUCCACUACUUCGAGCUCCAACAGAAUAUCCGGCUUUUAGCUAAGUUGAACCUCUGUUCCACGACAUUUUCGCUUAUAAUCUUUCAGGUUCCUUCCCGCUUGCUUACUUUGUCUCCGGGGAGUAUACUCUCCUGUUACGUCAUUCUCUACUGAGCUUGCUCUUUCUUAUCUAGAUUCAAUGAUUUCUGCUCCUGCUCCGCCAAGCUACUACUGUAGUAUAAAGUAGUAUAACCUAUUUGUUAAGCAAUGAUCAAUAUGACACUUGGAUCUUUCGAGUCCUGUUCUAUGCCCAACAACUAUUCCAGUUUUCGCUAUUCCUGUUUUCGGAGGUUUAGGCUCAAUCAAUUGAAACCCCCCGCCAGUCUAGUGACCAGUCUAGGCCUAUAAACAAUGAUUUGUCUAGGUUAGGAUACUUUGAUACAUUGAUUCACUUACCGCUUACUUGCGCACUGCCUCUAAUCCUUCAUCUGAUCCUGCCCCAGCUCCAUCUUUUGCUGAUGAUCUUGUUCCUACUUUGAUCCUUAUUCUACAGGAGCUCACUUUAGACUUACCUCAAUUCCAUUCCUAGUAGUUAGGUUAGGAUCGACCUCGCACCAGACGCUAUGCCGCGCUCUUCUAUCAAGUUCAGAGCGCGCCUCCGCUUUCACUGGAAGGCUACCUGAGAGAAAAAACAAACCUGUGCCAAAUAAACGAAAACGAAUGCUCUUUCUCAUUUAACGAUUGGCUUUGUGUUAAGUAAUACCUCCCUACCGUAACCAAGCACACCCACGGCCUUCUUUGGAAAGGAUUCAGAUUUGUUCAACAUUCCUCGCUCACUCGGACAACCCCACCCGGCAGCCAUUCGCUCACAGAGCUUCGCCUCACUUGCAAACGACCGUUCACAUGGAUGAACUAGUAUAGUAUAUAUAUAUAUCAAUAGUUUUUUCUUAUGGUUAAUCUAUAUAUAAUAGAACUAAUGUAUUAAACAAUCAAGAGAGUGGAUUCAUCCUAACCUAUCGAACAAGAACAGCCAUUGAUGCGGGCCAGCAACCAAAGAGAUAGAACCGCGUCUUCUUAUUCCACGAAGAUUCAGACAAAAACCGAGCUUGGAUAAAACAGGGUCAAGAAAUAGCUAGGCUUACCACUAAUAGAUUUGGUUCUUUCUUUGUCCUAAGUCGGUCAUUAAAGGCCGAAAUCUAUGAGUUGUUGUUCCCUUUUCAAGUAUUUCUGGCUAUAUGGAAAAACUGCAAUUGAUCAUCGAAACCUUCUCUGCGGAUGGAGACUCAAAAGAUGGAUUCGAUAUUUCACGACCAGCCCACAUCAGGAAAACAGACUCCUUUGUGAGCCAGUUAGCCGACGGGGCGAGUCUCCGAAAGUGGCAGGUGUUACCCGGAGUUACUAUGUGGGUUUGCGCUUCUCUGAAAAGACUGGCACAAGGAUCGAAUCGAGCUAAUUCCCUUUCUGGGGAUUCACACCUAUGUAAUAGCAGAAGAAAGCAAAGGCCAAGCAACUACUUUCGAAUUGAACUAGGCUGAAACAAGCACUGUGAAUUCUAUUGUAAGACUUAACAAGCUGUUCAAGAAGAUAAGCGUGUCUGCUAGCGAGAAAGAGGGAAGUUUCUUCUUCAAGUAAGGAGCAACCAAGCAACUUCCUUGAGAGUUCCUGUUAUUGGCUCAUUGUCUACAAGAGAGGGAUCCGAGGCAGUGGAGGCAGUAUCAGAGGCAGUUCGUAAGGAAGCCGCAAGUGGAAAGUCUCAUUCCGUUAUUGGUGUUAGUGCUUCUGUAACUGGAUACUUUAGUUCUUAUCAAAUGCCUACGAUGUGUUGGGAAUGGGAAGAAAGAGACAUAACCGCGCCUAACUCAGUUAAUUAAUAACUUAGCUACUAGGCAAUAAGCUAUAAGAACAGGUUAUUACCAAUAUUCUGCAUUGUAGUAAAGUAGAAAACUCCAUUCUGAAAGGAAGGAAAGAGCAACCAAGCAGACCCUCUCACGCCAACACAUUCCCUUAAGGCUAAGACUAGUUUACCCCUAGUAUAUCUAUCUUCUUCUCUAUUCUCUACCCAUCUUUCUUGACCUAUCUUUUGACCCUAUUCUUAGAACUGAGAGCAGUAGGGCGAUACAGGCUAGUAAUGACUUUGCAAUAGAAGUAGGUGAGCAAUAGGGCGAUACAGACCAGUAAUGGAAUUGAAUGCACUUCACUUCAUAUAGAGCUAAGUCACUUCAUUAUAGAGCUAAGUCACUUCAUUACAAAAUACCGAAAGUGAGUUUGCCGGCGCAAGAACCAGUGAUAGAGUUCCUGAAACCGACGAACAGUUGUUAUAUUAAAUACAAUACCAGAGUUAGAUGAGCUAUUCUUAUCAGUAUUAAUAAUAAGAAAUAAGUAUAUAAGAAAUCCGUAUUAAUAAUCAGAAAUAAGUAAAAGUCAAUUGAACUUGUAUAUAAGGGGGUGUUUGUCUAACUCGAACAGUAAUUGACUGAAACUCCUAUCCUUCGUUAGCGCCUGCACCCGCACUGCUCACUUUAGCCUCUGAUUCUCACGCUUCUUACUUGAAACUGGAAUCCAUCAGCUUGGCACCUACCCCUGGAAACUCUAAGAACUCCGCUGGGCACCUCUACAAGUCAAUUAACGUACUUGUUCUUGCCCGAACUCUAGUUUUAGAACUGCUGGCUGCUGACUGACUUUCAACAACAGCGCUCGUAGCUGACUGACUUUCUACAACAUCACCGCUGUCAGCUUAUGAACCUUUAAAAGCUUCUUCAACUAGAAAAGGCACUGGUAUACCGAUCUCCUAUCCUGGGUCUCCCUAUCCCCUAUCCUGGGUGUUACCUACUGGAUUUCCCUUUCUUCUCUUCACCCUGAAACAAUACCACCAGCUACAGCGGGACAACCACUUGAGACUUGACCUCGAGGAGUCUCUGGGAACUCAGGCUCCCAUCUAUACCUUAGAUUCUAACUUGAGAGCUCAGCAGAUGAGGUUCGGGGGUCUCAUUCAAAUAGAAUAAUAAUAUAGAUGUGGGUGCCUCGCCUAGUAAGGGUGCCUAACCUGAUUCCGCCCGCCAAGCAAAUCUCUCUUGUUUUUCUUUUUCCUUUACCGAUCCGCUUCUAUAUUCUAUAUAUGACAAAACCAGAACUACACUUGCAGAACCGUUUGAUGCUUACCCCUUAACUGACUUAGAUCCGUGUAGGCUAUCCGAACUCCACUUUCAUAACCGAUGGCUGCUUCCUUGCGCACAAGCCAAAGAAUAAACUGAGAUACUGUGACACUGACACACUUGUUCUUACUGGGCAUUAGAAUAUUAGUUCUUGCUAGACAUAUAAUGUUUCUUCUUGCUUGCUGGGCAUAUAAUGUGUUUGUUCUUGCUUGGGUAUCUAAGAUUGGAAUUGAUUCUUUCGAUUCGAGCGGCGUAUCGCAUUAACCUAGCAGUAGGGUAGUAAACUCAUCAUUGCAUUAACCUAGCAGUAGGGUCACUAAUCAUUAUCUAAUUGUUUGUUUAUUAUAUAAUUGUUUGUUUCGAGCUUCGAGUAAACCAGGAAACCAAGGAAUUGAACAUAUCAAUUGAACAGCCCCUUCCUCACGCGUUAGGCAGCUAAAGAAGAUAAGACAAGAAGUAGAGUGUGAUUGAUUGUUAGAAUGUUGUUCCAGAGGUCGACCACAACUCGGUUAAGGGUCAAUUUCUCCAUUCGAGUCUAGAUGAUAUAUACUGUAUUCUUCCCUACUCCUUAAGAGGAAAGAGAUGUUUAACACACCGCUACGUCCACAUGGGCGUGAUCUUCGGCUUGGGUGGGCUUGGCUUAUUCAUCAUAGGAUCCAAAAGUGGAUAAUACGGAUGUCGAACUAUACUUUAUUAACCGAUAUUUGAGUCUUCUCAAGCACCCGACCCGAACUCCACUAGAUUCUGUUCUUUGCCUUUGUAGUGGUAGCUUUUCUCUUGCUCUAGUACUGUUGCUUGGCCCGCGAACUCAAUCUAUUCAAGUCUUGGCUGACGGGUUCAAAGAAAAGAAAGUCAGGACGAUUCUCAGUGCCGUGUUCUGUAUUUUAUUCGAAAUCGGAGCGAGUAAGGGUGUGCAUGGGUACCGACCGACAUCCGUUGCCUGAUGGUAGGAUCUAUCUUCUGCGCUAUCUUUGUAUAUAUGCUUCGGUCCCUUCCCUAGACCUACGCUACUAGUUCUAUUUUCAUUAAGCCGAAUCAUCAGAGGAAUCUUAGGUACUAACUCUAUGUUUACCUGAGAAGGAGAAAGAGUCCGGCAAGAAGCCUUAUUCCUAAUGGUAAGAAAAAGGGACCUAAAAGAAGGUGGGGCAGAGAACACCGUGCAUGAAGCAAGAGGUCGUAUACGUCUAGGGGGACUCCCAAUAAACAAUAGAGUGGAAGCGACGUAUACCUGAGUAUACCGAUGCCGAUGGAUUUCUUUUUCUAGAGAUUUCCCGUAGAAUAGGUUCUCCUUAGUUUGCUUUUCCCGAUAAGAGAGAAAGGGAUGCCUAUAUCGAUCGAUUAACAUAAGGCUUUAACAAGGGUUUCCCGACUUCUUUAUGUCCCCGAAAGGAAAGCUUAGCUAGAGGGAUCUCGUUUACUCUUAUGAGGAUUGUUUUUUCCUUAUAGCAUGUUAUACCCCAGCCUAACUUGACUUUUCUUGUUAGUUCAAUUCACCGAUAGCGAUUGGAUUGUGGUCCAUGGUGGAUAGACGGGGCAAGGACGAGUCCAGCCCUACCACUUGACUAUCCUGAACAAAAGCGCACACUCUAAAGUCAGUCCUACAAUAGGGGAGGACCCAUUGAUCCUUCCAAAACAUAUGUUGGUGUGGGUAGUGCCAUUGAUUAUGCCGAAUCCAGAGAUAGAGAUGAACUUAUCAUUUCCAAUAGUUAGUCCUUUCUCCUAGGGGCAGCAGGAAUUCCUCUAUUUGCAGUUGGCGGUGGAGCUGCCAGAAUGGAUUUCGGGAAAGGCUUUCGUAAGCGCGCCUCUUUGUGACCUUUCAUCCUUGUGAUCUUGUUGUCAAAUAUUCUAAAGUAGAACGAACUUCUCAAAUAGGCUAGCUUCGUCGUCUAUUCUCGGGGAUUUCUCCUAAUCAGCUGCCGUUCUUGAAGGUAUCUCAAAAGAGGAUGCUUUGGCUAAACCCACUUUCCCCAAAAAGAAAGACAGAUAGUUUGGAAAGAAAGAGAGUUUGUAAUAAGCAAGUAAGCUCGCCCAUUUGAUAAGUCAACUGAGAACAAAACCAGAUUGGAGAAACUUUGGAUCUGAAAGUCAGAAGAUAGGAAUGGAUAGUCAUUCACUCUCCGUUUGUUCCAGCCCAGCAAGGGUGCGAGUGAGCAGGCCAGGCUAAUAGUUGGGCAUUCAACGCGGAUACAAAUAAUAAAAGACGAGGUAAGAUUCUUUUCUGUUUAACAGCCCCGAGUUCACAGGUUAUGCCAGUACAGUAAAGAAGAGAUGGUUUGCUAAUUGGAUAAUCCUACUAAUAUAGAAAGAUUCACGUGCGAAGUGACGAGCGAAAGGCUAUAUUUCCUAGAGAAAUCAAACACUGUAACUUUCCUGUGGGCCGGGAUCAAAAAAACACCUAAGCUAAAAAGCAUCAAACCGCAUUUAUGGAGAAAAAUCCGUUUCAUUGUCUGGACAACUCGACGAGUCCAAUUACUAGCUUCUCUAGCCUUGUAUGCUUUUCUAUCUGAAAUAUCCUGCCCUUCUUUCUUCUUCCCAUUGCAGGCACUGCACACCUCUUAUAUUAUAGGAAGCUCCAAGAAUGAUUUCUUCUUAUUAAAGUAGCGAGUGUAUGGAGUUCUUCUUUUGUUUGACCUACUCGGGGGGUUUCCUUUCCUCGACUUUAAGUGUGGAAUUGCUGGAGUAUAUAUAUAUUUGUAUGAGUAAACAAGCCUACUUCCCUUUCUUUUUCAUCAUAUGACUGGGGCUUGGCAUCCCUUUAGCGUUACGUUACUUCCGAACUAUCCUUUACGCUUGCACCUGUGCUUAGUUCUCGUCUGCCCUGAACCCUGUCCUUAACAUCCGCCAAAAAGAGUAGUUUCCUUUCCCUUCACCCAGCUUUCGUAGACAUUCUUUAUUUCCCUUAACCCAGCUUUCACUUCAUCUUUCUUGCGCCUCAACAAAAACUACUUCACUGAAUCCUUUCACUUGUGCAGCUAAAGUCAACCGGGAAUCUCUUUCUUUCGAGCGGCGAGGCAGUCACUCCUUAUGCUCGCUUACGUGAAAAAGAUAUAGUUAUAGUAGCCCACCCCGAAGUCACCUCACACUGCUUCUCGCCCUAUCUGUCAUAAAGAGAAAAGCACAACUAUGAGUAACCGGACUUCUUACUCCCAAUAAUAGAAUGUAGGCACAAGUUACAAAGUGGAUACUUCGCCCUCCUAGUCUAACGCGCAACAGGCGAAAGAUUGGAGCUAAGCGAUUCCCUAUCUGAUUCCCUAAUUCAAGUUUAUGUUACCGCCGAACCUUAACCUCUCUUCUCUCCACGAAAAGAAAGGGAAUUCUUAGUUGCUUGUUGGGAUGAAACAAGAACAUCACACCUUUAUUCUUUACCGACGGAGAGCUUCUAUCUAAGACCUCGAUCUACUCACUCACGCAGGGUUUGCACCCACCCCAAGCAAAGAUACUCGACUUGAAACCCAUAUAGUACUCCUAACUCUCCUCAAAGAAUCGAAUUGGAACCGCUCACUCCAAAGCUAACAGCUGAUGAUCCAGCUUUCACGCCUUAUUUGGAACUAGCCUCUGGUCUUUCUUCUCACCUUUAUUCCGCUUCUCUUGAUCCACUUUCACUUCUUUAUUGAGCUACUACUGUUUGUUGGCCCUGUUUGAAGCUACCUAUCUGAUUUGGAUCGCCCGCGCCUGUAAUAGAAGUCCAGUAAACCAUUCAUUGAAUCUAUGUAAACCAUUCAUUGAAUCUAUCGAGCUCCGAGUCAAUACUUUCUUAUUGAGCACAUGGUAUAGGAUUAAGUAAGUACACAACUAACCUUUUGAAUGGAACCGCUUAAACGUCAAUCGAUUUCGAACCUAGCAGUAAAGAGAGUUGGGCCAGGCACAAUACUUAACGCUUCAGUGAAAUAUUCAUUUCAUAAAUCUAUCUAUUGUGCAUAUAACUUAGAAAUUGACACUCUGUCACUUUUGUAACUCACUGACAAACAGUAGAAUUGGAUCUCUCUCGAGCACAGAACUCCCGAAACAGGAGUGAGAGUAUUGCCAACUCACUGAUGCCCGAACACAGGACUUAAUAUAGAAACAGGGUAACCAAAGGGAUAGGUGGCUUACCGAUUAACAGCUUUUUCUCUAGCUUGAGAUUUCAAUCCUGCCUCACUAAGAUCCGGAUUCAGAUACUGCUAUACUUAACCUAACAACAUACCUUUAGCCGACCUAAACUCUCAAGUGACUUAUUGCUGACUGACAUGUAUUAGUAUUACUUAAAUCAAGGGUAUAGGCCACCUCUGAAACAAGAAUAAGCAUUAGUGCCAUUGCUUCUUGAGCAAGUCCUUCCUACAAGUCCUUUGGGUAUUCAUGGCGUCAGUAAAUAGGUGUUUGUUGCCCGGAUUAUUGUAUUGCCCUAAGCCAAAGGUGAAGUAAAAGCGUAAGCACCAACACCGACUUGAAGUGAGAAACCGCUGGCUGUUGACUUUAGAACUGAUCCUGAUACGGCUUGAGACUUUACUCAAACAUCAAUUGAUUCCUUACCUGCUCUAACAGCUUUAUCUGCUCCAUCUUUUGCUUUAGAUUCUGUAGUUUACAACACGGGAACAGCCUCUGAUCCAGCUUCAAAGCCUAUACUUUAUUCCGUCGGAUUCAGCUGAUUCUCUUGGCUAUUCUAGAGCUCACUUGAUAACUGCGUCCUGUAAGAGUUGAGGAAUAGAAGUGAUAUGGAUUAGAUCUGCCUUAGAGUAGGAGCGGGAUCGGGUACUUUGCUACAGGGGUUCCUCUGCGCCAAUUCCAUUCUGUGUUUUAGGGUGACUGUAGUAUAACCUAGUAAUAAAACCGCAAAGUGAAAGUAGGAAAACUUUGAUUCUAUCCUAUGUGGUUUAAUAAUCAAACUGGGAUUCUAGCCGGAUUCCACCCUAAUGGAAAGUUGUGAGAGAUGCUUCUUCAGUGUUGUUUGCCGGAGCAAGACUAAGUAGAGAGAAGUUCGGUGCUUGACGUCGGUGCGAGUGUUGCGGAAUAGUACCAAGGAAGAGUAGAAAGGUCAGAAUCAAUUCGAUCUUAAGCUCCUGUUAGCAGAACUCCCGUAAGCCAUAAAUACAGGACUCCCUACGGGUAGCCAACUAAUAUAUAUUAUGGAAGUGAAUGACUCUCUUCUCUUGGAGAUAACACAGGAAAUUCUUCUUUCAACUGUGGAGCUAACGAAAACAAACGGACUAUUUCUCAAUAUGGAGAAGUCUGUUUAUUGUUAUUGGGAUUGCUCUUUCAGCUCUAUGUUCCAUGGGUGCUACUUCCAUUGAUUCCUUGCCACUCCUUUUUUCUAUCCUAUUGAGUCAUAGGGAUCCCGGAUCUUACACCGAAAUACUAUACCAAGACUUUCCAAAUAAAAGGUUCAUGAGGAACAGAAAUAGACGUUGCUGAUCUCGGGCCUUCUGCUGCUGCCCCAGGGAUAUAGAGGAGCAAAGAAAAGAGGCUUGAAGCACCUUAGAUUGCAUUGCUCACUUGAGAGAAGAAAUAGCCAUGGCGCUGUUGUCCAUAGAGCAUAUGGAGAGAGAACGUGCUCAGGCGGAUCGGAUGAAGCUCUGGGACCGUGGCUUAGGCUGGUAGUAGAUCAGUUGGACUGGCCUCAUUCCCAAGAAUGUAUCAAAUAUAGAGGUAAGGCCGCCCCUUCAUCAUUUCCAGAAGAAAGGCAAGAAGAACCUUUUCUAUGCAAAGGUGGAUAACUGCAACCUGGCCAUAUUGGGGCCAUGAACCGCUUUUCUUUAGUGAAACGAUCCCGUUUUGACGUAACAGUUAAGUGAUAUCAAAUGAGAAAUUCAAACCAAGGCAACGUUUGGACUUAGGCCUUUUGGAAAACAGCCUGUUCACACGUGCGGGACUAAUCAUGACUGCGGCUUUUUGAAACGCUGCGGAUCAAUGAUAGCCGUCGUUUUGUCUUGAUCGAGGCACCUUUAUCUAUCUGGUAAAAGAGGAGAGGAGUCGUUUAGUAAUUAUACAGAAGAAUAGAAUGCUCCGAUCGAAGAAGAGCCUGUCGGCGUUAGAAGAACUGCCGGAGUAGACUCAUAUGUGUGUGUGGACCUACGCUAGUUCCCGGGUCUCAGUUGACCUUUGCUCAUUCCAUUUCUUCAAAGAACUCUUUAGGGCCUAUAUCGUCGGAAAGGAGUUAGGGUUCGGCCCUAUUAUCGUUGAAAUUGAACAUGGAAUUGGAGCUUGACCUUACUUGAAAAUAGCCUCGUUUUUUGGAUGAGAAAGUGGCCCCCCGUUUUGAUUUGAAGUGGUUCUCUAUCUAAGGAAUCGCUUUAAGAGAAAGGAAAGCUGGCAUCUUACCUAGACAGACGGUAGGCUUGCUUAAGAGAUCUAUAUCUUUUGGAUAAAACAAUGAAAUAUCGCGCUUUUCCCAUGGAGAUUGAUCAAUCUUUGACCUAGACUACUCAAAGCACAAGCGCCGACGUUUGAGUUAGAUCGGUUCAGCACGGAGAAAAGAUGGGAUUGAGGAGAAGUCUAAAUCAAACUACUCUGUAAAGCAAUCCGCAUCAGUUAUCGCUCUUCUCUAUAUCCAAUUGUAAGUAAAACCAGAAUGAAUUUCCAUAAGGGUCCUGAAUCUCAUCUAAAAGUCUAUUCGACAUGGAAAGACCCUAGUUUGGCAGACUCCAGUAUUUCCUUGUAAGGUAUAUCCGUUAGUCCUAUCUCAAUGCAAAUAUGCAAUAGCCAUUAUCUCUCGUGCAAUAGCCCUUAUCGAACUGGUCUAACUGCUUGCAAACCUGCUUAGACUCCUUUUCCUAAUAGAAUAGAAUCAUAAGUUCUCAAUUGAUGAAGGAGAACUGCUCGAAGAUCCUUCCAUGUAUAGACGAUUAGUAGGAAGUCUAAUCUACCUGACUAUGACAAGACCGGACAUACAUAGAUAGGCUGUUGGUAUUGUUAGUCAGUUCAUGCGGAAACCGAGGAAAACUCACUUAUAUGCAGCAUACAGGAUACUGAGAGAGGAGGGCUUUCUACUGGUAAAGGAAUCCUCAUUCAUGUCAACACAUCCUCUACGUUGGAGCUAUCGUGUUAUUCAGGCGUGGCCAGAUGUUCUCAGAUGACCGAAAGAAAGUAUACAUCGGGAUUCUUUGUCUUACCGAAAGAAAGUAUACAUUGGGAUUCUUUGUCUUACCGAAAGAAAGUAUACAUCGGGAUUCUUUGUCUUAUUAGGUAAAAGUCUGAGAACGAAAUGGGAGCAACAUAACAUCUGGUUUCCAAAUCAUUUCAAUGGGGAAUCAUUCGUGGUUUCGUUUUUAUGGAUAGAAAGAUAGAUUCUGCAUUUCCAUAUAGAAUUGUAGGUCUUGAAGUUCUUUCUUGAGUCUUUAGUUUCACCUGAUCAGAAAAGGGUGAGAACUUGAGAAAUAAUGAUCCAAUUCAUCAUUGGUGUGAUAGGAACAAAAAAACCAAUUGUUAUAGCCUAGCCACAUCCUUCCUAAGGUAAGAAAAAGCAGAUGAGAAAGCCCCCCUAAGAUGAUUCAUAAAGGAAGUUCAGUUGGGGCUCGUCCUCUCAAUGGCCUCGGGCUUAUUCCCUGACUCUGUAAGUUAUCGAUUUGGCGGAAGACCUUGAUUCAUUUCAUUAUAGGUUUCCGUGCUUUUACCAUGUCUCUAGAACAGUCUUCUCAGAAUUCCAUUUAGAUUUCGAUAUCUCUACCGUGCCUGGCUUCACACGGGAACAGACCGGCUUCUAAGGUUACUCAAAAAGGCUUCUGUCCUUGAGCACUAUACUUUGAUAGAUUCUUUCUUCAAGUCUUCUUUACUAUACUAAUUCUCGAUUGAGGUUUGGUGUGAUUGAACUUGUACCAACCAAUGGUGAAUAUUGAACUUGUACCAACCAAUGGUGCAUAAAGGAAAUAAUAGAUGGGCACCUCCGGCGAUAAGUAAGUUCGUUUCCCUUUAUCUUAGUAAGGAAUUAGCGCUCAACCGUUGUCUAAGAUCCUAAUCCUAGGAAGCAAGAGAUGUUACCUCUUAAGCAGAAGAUGGGCUAAUAGCAAGGCUCAAUCAAGAUCUCCCAUAGCUUGCUCAGCUGGAGGAAUGGCUGGCUCCGAAGGAUUCUUUUGUUGCUCCAUUCUACAGAUAUUAGGUCGCCACUUUUGGAAGAAAGUCUUUGCUUGACUUGCUCAUAACAGAUGGAUUCCCUUUCUAGUUUGUCUUGAACCAGUAAAUGGGAUCUCAUUUCGAGUCGAAGAAGAGAGAAAAAGCUCUGCCCAAGUGGCAACGAAUGCCGAUAAGCAAGUAUACAAGUUUCUUGAUUGGAUUGGAGGUUCAAAAGACCAAUGUCCGAAAGAGGGAUCAGACCGAGGCCUAGGAUUCUAUAUACUCCUCUGGUCUCUCUCGACCGAGUGAACAUGCCCACUACCUUCUACCCUGUCGUCCGUUCUUUCAUAGAAAGGUAUUCAAGGCAACUAAGCGGAUGGUCCGAUCCGAAAUGCUCAAAUUGCAAGCUCCCUUGCUAAGCUUCUUUCACAGGUAGUUUCAGGUCGGCGGCCUUGUCAACGGAAUUCCCCACUCCAUCCUGUGCUACAUCGAAUCAAAAGAUUCAUCCAUCCUGUUUUUCAUUUCCACAACAAGGAUCUUUAUCUCACUAAAGAAACCGGAGGCUGAUACCUGAGAAGUUGAGUUCCCCUAUGGAAUGCCUAGAAGGCCCCAUCUAUGCUACUCAAGCUGGUAGGUCAGGGAAAUAAAUGAAAUAAGCUUCUUCAAUUGGCAUGUGGUAAGCCCAUUUUCUCUGCUUUUGGUUUUUCAUCUAGAAUGCUUUAAGCGGUAUUUCAACAACUCUCAAUCUUGCUCUGGCGGUAUAAGCUUGCCUGUUGCAUUGCUCUUUAAGGAAGUUAGAUCCGCAUUCGUCUAAGCUCACCUGCUGCUGAUGAUACCAAAGAAGUGGAAUAGGGAAGCAAAGAAGGCCAAAUUCAUUCUCCUUUCUAUCUUUCUCAAAUUCAUUCUCCUUUCUAUCUUUCAAAGGAACAGGGGAUUCUCAUGGGGCAGCUAAAGAAUAUAUCUAAAGCGGCGCCCUAAUUGCAUUGCUUAUUAUUGGCUUCGAGUAACCCACCUUUCUCAAGCCAUCUGGAAACUUCCCUUAUACCUUCUACUGUUCUAAGUGCUUUAAAUUCAUAGCAAUAAGGCGGAUUUAGCAUCGUUUAAGGCACCAAGAAGACAGUUAGUUGUGGUUUCAUUCAGUUCAUGGUAUCCAAGGUGUUAGAACAGUAAUAGACCUCUAAUUCAGAACUUCCAGUGGAGAGUUCGGUUGCUCGUUUACAGUAUAGUUCGUCGUUAGGUAUCCCGUAUCAAGUGAUUCUGUUCGAUAGGGUGCACUCGCUAUGUCUUUACUUCAAUCUAUACGUGCAAGAUAAUCAAUGGAGAGUUUGACUCGGUCCAACAAGAACAAGUGUGCUAACUGGAGUUGUUGCCAAUGAAAUUGAUCUGCCAGAAUUCUGAAGUUGACUCGGCGUUACGCUAACAGUCGCUUGAGAAGCAAGUCCUGUUUUUGGGAGUUCUCUUCGAUAUAUUUCUUGCAGCAUAAAAGUGUGAUUUGAUUUGAGCGAAAAAAGAAGGAGCGGGGGCGGCAAUAAAGACAUAAGCUUCAUCCCAUUCUUUGGUGGGCACAUAGGUACUCUAUUCUUAUUCUAUACUAACUACAUAUCUAAAUGUUUUGCUAAAGGUUUUGAAGGCGGAAAGCGAAACAUGAUUCAUUCGCCUCGACGCUUGAGAUCAAUAGUCCCCGUUUUCUUCACACGGAGAAAGAUAGGGAAGGGAGUUCCUUCGGCGGCAGGAAAGAAAGACUGUUAUCCACCAUCUACCCCUUUCUCUUACUGUGAAUAAGACUGAGAACCUCCUUUAUAAGACUGAGAACCCCUUUUAUCUGACGCUAUUCCCCUUUGAUUUAUUGUUCACCCUAUAUUACCCUUUCUCUUACUGUGAACCCUCUAUUAUUAGUAAAGUAGUAAAGCGCCGCAACUGUUCUGCUCUUUCCUACCACUUUAUUGGACUUCGGGGACAACUAGUUUUAUAGGGGGAAAUCCUUAAUUGUUACAAAAUCUCUCUCUAAAGGACACGAAUCUAAUUCAUUUGUGCUAUACUUUCUUCUUUCCUUAGGUGCCGAGCACACAACAAAGAGUUAUCUUAUUUGAGAAUUUGAUCCAUACCAGGUGAAGAAUACCAAGACAUCUCUCGAUUGAAACAUGGGUUUCCUUUCGUUGAGCGUUCAAAAGGCUUUUUUUCGCAUCCCCUUAGCUUUGGCUUGUAAAGCUGAUCCGAGGCGCAAGAAAUAAAUGCACUUGGCGCCCUUUCUUUCAAUGGAUUUAGAUAGUUUUCGUGAGUGGCCGUUCCGCAGUGGAAUUCACUGUCAAUGAGACACCCGUUUUGAUUGCCAUAGGAAUAAUAGUGGAAAUCCGUUUCGACGACAGUUGAUCCACCAAGAAAUAUGCCUGAGUUGGUCCGCCAAGAAAUAUGCCUGGCUUUCGAAAUUGCCUCAAGGAUAUCAACCCUCAGGUUUCUUAUAUACUCCGUUUGUUUUGAAGCCGAAAAACCAAAUAAGUCAUUUGACUCUUUCGGGGGAAUCUUGGAAAUUGAUAUUGGAAUCCCUACUUCCUGCUCUGCUACUACUAUUCCAUUUAUAUUCCAUUCCUACUUCCUGCUCUGCUACUACUAUUCCAUUGAUUAUAUCAUAUAUAUGUCCACUUAUAAGUCCAAUCAAAUAAUAAGUAAUAUGUAAGUCCAAUCAAAUAAUAAGUAAUAUGGGGGUCCAAUCCAAUAAUAAGUAAUAUGGGGGUAUGGGUUCAAUUUCUUUCUUGAGAUGGAGGCAAAGGGAAUGUUUAUUGACUCAUUCCGCUGGGAUUCGCUAAAAGCUGCACUGGAUUUCGCAAGAAGGAUAUGCAGGAGGAAAUGAUUCAUUCCGUUCUAGAGCUAAAGAUUCCAGUGGGUUGCUUCAUUCUUAGUGUUUUUGUCAUUUGCUUUAUUCGGUUCAUUCUUCUUACCUCAAUAGAUUCGUUGAUUAUGAGGAGUUCGGAUUCCCCCGCUAGAACAUCUUCCCUAUCUCUUGCCCUUUUAGUGAGAGCAAAGGAAGGCCUCUCAAAGGAAUGGGGUUAGUUCCAGUGUGAAGUUAAGUCAUAAAGGCAACUAUCAUUAGAUGCUUCAUUCUCAUUCCUUUCAGUUCGCUCGCCCACAGAUCAAUUCGGAGCCCUUUUUCCUUUGAUGGGAAAAUAAUAGUUCCGUUCCACGGAUCCACUCGCCAAUACAUUCCCGAAAUAAUGCAUUCUCUAUAUACCAGCUAAGCUCACCAAUUUGUAUAUACAUAUGAAGUGAAGCAUAACGAGAGAAAGAGCGGAACAGAACUGUAACUCGUAUUCUGUACUCAAGCGCUAUCAUGUAAAGUUCUUUUUAGGGGUAUGGUACUACGCUACGUUUAAAUGCACUUUUUCUUUAACCACUUUUUCACUUAAUAGCUUAUUGCAGAAUAGGCAUAGAGAGAAAUUCACCUCUCUGAUCUAAUAUGUUCUUAGAGUGUUCCAUUCCUUGCCACUUUCUUUUCCUCCUAGUACUUCUAAUUGCAGACUAGUGGUUUCUCUUCACUUUGGAUAAAUCUAGAAUCAUACCGAAGCGAAGACCAACAUUUGCAUUUUCCCGGAACUAAAGGCAUGGAUUGGCUUUCCUUUCAACGCAUUAAAUCUUAUAUCUACACUAUUAUUCAAGACAGCAAACACAACAUGGUUCUGAGAUGCAGAAAACAAGUACCUUUCUAUUAGAAUAGUCUUCAAACAUUUUCUAUUGGGGGAUGGAUUCCGGCUUUCUUUAAUAAUAGGCUUAGUACAUUGGGCUGUAUUCGAUUAGACACCUUGACCAAGAACAACCCCGGUGCCGAAAAACCAAAUGAAGUCGAGAGGAAGAGAUUCGCUUUUUUCUGAAAUUAGCUCCUCGUUUGAAUAUUGGAUAGCUGAGAGAGUGCGAAAACUACUAGUUAUAGCUGAGGAGAGUGCGAAAACAACUGGAAAAGGGCCAUUCCCGAUAAUAUAGAAUAUUGAAGAGAAGUUAUUGGCUGUUGAGCUGGCUGGGUGCCAUAAUCAAGGUAGGUAUACAACUGUCCCGCUGUUGCUCCUUGCCUUAGAGUGGAAUAUGAUUGUAAUCUAGGUUCUGUUGCUAGUUUGCGCUGUGCCCUUGUAGUGUAAGAGUGGUGGCCUUGCCUUCUUUAGCUCCCCUUAGCGAACUACUGAAACGUUAGGAGUUUUUUGAGGGGAGGUUACGAACUCAUACAUAUAAGAUAAAGACAACAAGUAAACAAGUAUCAGAGAAAGGCUUCAAGUCAAUAAGCAACUCGGGGUGCUAAGGGUUAUUGGAGUUUCUAGAACUAGCGCUAGGGAACAAGCUUAGUUGAUUGAGCUCAGUUAGCCGAUUCAGACAGGAAGGACGGACUUGCUCUUGACUGAUAAUAACUCUGUAAGUGAGCUAUAAGCGAGAACAAGCAAGCCGGAGUUAUUGAGUUCGCUAAGAGAAAAGAGGUUGCCCUUUAGAGUAUUUCUAGUGUUGUUACUUUCUUGAGAGUAUUUCCAGUGUUGUUACUUUCGAGUAUUAUGGGUAGUCUACUUAAUUUCAUGAAAUUCCUUAGAGCCAGAGAAAAUGUAAUAGGUUAAGAGUAGGAGCAGGAAGACUAGAUUCAAUUCCAUUCAACAAGCUUUACUUUAGGCAAAAAAGAAUGGGGUUUGCCCUAGUUACGAAGAUAGCUCAAUUCCAUUCUGAAGUACUAUAAGGGGGCUGCUUGUCUUGCUUUGGCUUGAGAAAAGAGCUAGAGAAUCAGUCUAAUAGUAGAAAGUAUAUAUUGGUAUAAUAUAAGAAUAAUUGUAGUUGCCAAAACCCCUGUAUAAAGGACUCAGUAGGUGAACAAAGGAACGAAAAAAGGACUUGAACCAGACUUUAGCACUGCUUAUUCUAGAGUAGACAAGGAGGCGAGACAAGAAGUGUCAUUUCCUGUGUAAGAUCCAGCUUGCCAAACUAUAGAGAAGAUAGGCACCAUUAGAGAGAUACUUCGUCCUUUUUUGUUCAGGCUAUUCUCAUAGUUAACAUGUAGUCCACUAACUAAAUGUAACAGAACAUAUGUUUACCCCUAUAAGCUGUUCAUAUGCCUUUUCCCUAAGAAAGAACAUAACAUUCCAUGACCCUUUCCUAUUGCUGAACCAGACGCCUUUAUUUGUAGUGGCUUGUGCCCCGCACCCUAUACACUCGGAAGAGGCAGUCCGUCCAGAGUCUGACUUCCCCUUAAAAGCAGCUAGUUGUCCUUCUUCAGCGGAAAGGAAAGAGUAGAACAACCAACCAACCGAAUCUUUAUUUACUUAGCCUUCGAUCUAUCUCCUUACUUUAAUAAGUGACUUUAAUAAGAACACAUAAUAUCAUAUCCACAUAGAACUCAGACAUUCCAAAUUUGUUAAUAACAACACAGAACCUUACUCAAGAAAGACUAUUGGGUGACGAAAGAGAAUCUAGUCAAAUGGAAGUAUAUAAGUAAGUCCAGUCCAG